rnacentral:rRNA from 1 species
UACGUAGGGUGCGAGCGUUAAUCGGAAUUACUGGGCGUAAAGCGUGCGCAGGCGGUUCGUUAAGUUCGUUGUGAAAGCCCCGGGCUCAACCUGGGAACUGCAAUGGAAACUGGCGGGCUUGAGUGUGGCAGAGGGGGGUGGAAUUCCGCGUGUAGCAGUGAAAUGCGCAGAUAUCAGGAGGAACACCGAUGGCGAAGGCAGGUCUCUGGGCAUUAACUGACGCUGAGGAGCGAAAGCAUGGGGAGCGAACAGG